UGAUAACUGCCACCGGGUAGUGUAAUGCUUUGGCAUUCGUCUGCACAUCGUUAGGUCUUUGAAGAUGUGCAUACGGGUGCUUUUUUUCG
rnacentral:ncRNA from 1 species